GCGCCCGUGGUGAAAUUGGUAUACACGAUGGAUUUAGGUUCCAUUCCGGCAACGGGUAGGGGUUCAAAUCCCCUCGGGCGUACCA
rnacentral:tRNA from 1 species